AUUGAACGCUGGCGGCAGGCCUAACACAUGCCAGUCGAGCGGAUGAAGGGAGCUUGCUCCUGGAUUCAGCGGCGGACGGGUGAGUAAUGCCUAGGAAUCUGCCUGGUAGUGGGGGAUAACGUCCGGAAACGGGCGCUAAUACCGCAUACGUCCUGAGGGAGAAAGAGGGGGAUCUUCGGACCUCACGCUAUCAGAUGAGCCUAGGUCGGAUUAGCUAGUUGGUGGGGUGAAGGCCUACCAAGGCGACGAUCCGUAACUGGUCUGAGAGGAGGAUCAGUCACACUGGAGCUGAGACACGGUCCAUACUCCUACGGGACGCAGCAGUGGGGAAUAUUGGACAAUGGUCGAAAGCCUGAUACAGCCAGGGCGCGUGUGUUAAGAAGGUCCUCGGAUUGUAAAGCACUUUAUGUUGGUAUGAAGGGCAGUAAGUUAAUACCUUGCUGUUUUGACGUUACCAACAGAAUAAGCACCGGCUAACUUCGUG
rnacentral:rRNA from 1 species